rnacentral:tRNA from 1 species
CGCCGGAUGGAACAGCAUGGUAGCUCGUCGGGCUCAUAACCCGAAGGUCGUCGGUUCAAAUCCGGCUCCCGCAACCA